UUUCCGUAGGUGAACCUGCGGAAGGAUCAUUAUCGAAUAAUCGAGGUGCGAGGGCUGUCGCUCACCCGUACGCUCGUCCACGCACGAGUGCCCUCACACACUUCCACCUCCCCCCUACGUGCACCACCGCGUGGGUCCCCCUUUCGCUUGUUCGGCGGCGGGCUUACGUUUUCACACAAACGUUGUAUGCACUGUAGAAUGUAUUAUUUGUUUUCGCGAUUAAGCAAUAAAUACAACUUUCAACAACGGAUCUCUUGGUUCUC
rnacentral:misc_RNA from 1 species